AGAGUUUGAUCAUGGCUCAGGACGAACGCUGGCGGCGUGCUUAACACAUGCAAGUCACGGGGGCUCGUAGCAAUACGGGCAACCGGCGAACGGGUGCGUAACACGUGAGCAACCUGCCGCGCUCUGGGGGAUAGCCGGCCCAACGGCCGGGUAAUACCGCAUACGUUCUUUGGGAGGAGUCUCCCGAAGAAGAAACCUCCGGGGGAGCGCGAGGGGCUCGCGGCCUAUCAGCUAGUUGGCGGGGUAAUGGCCCACCAAGGCAGUGACGGGUAGCUGGUCUGAGAGGAUGGCCAGCCACAUUGGGACUGAGAAACGGCCCAGACUCCUACGGGAGGCAGCAGUGGGGAAUCUUGCGCAAUGGUCGAAAGACUGACGCAGCGACGCCGCGUGUGGGAGGACGCCCUUCGGGGUGUAAACCACUGUUGCCCGGGACGAAACUCCUCUUUCGAGAGGACUGACGGUACCGGGUGAGGAAGCACCGGCUAACUCCGUGCCAGCAGCCGCGGUAAUAC
rnacentral:rRNA from 1 species